rnacentral:rRNA from 1 species
UACGGAGGGUGCAAACGUUGCUCGGAAUCAUUGGGCGUAAAGCGCACGUAGGCGGUCUUGUAAGUCGGAUGUGAAAGCCCUCGGCUCAACCGAGGAAGUGCAUUCGAAACUGCAAGGCUUGAGUAUGGAAGAGGGUCUCGGAAUUCCCGGUGUAGAGGUGAAAUUCGUAGAUAUCGGGAGGAACACCAGUGGCGAAGGCGGAGACCUGGGCCAAUACUGACGCUGAGGUGCGAAAGCGUGGGGAGCAAACAGG